UCUCGUUAGCGUAAAAGUUAACUCAAAGUUGUAUGAAGUUCGAACGUUUGCCUACGUUUACCGCUAGGAGCGCUGUUCCAACUGCAUACAAAUUUGAUUUAACUUUUACGCUAUCGA
rnacentral:pre_miRNA from 9 species